GGCGUUCUCUGUGCGGUCAGACCGGGCAGAGUCAUCCCGAGGGGUGGGUCCUCCGGCAAUAGAAAAGGAAAACCCACCUUUUUUCAUUGUUAAGGACGCGCUGGAAUGUGAUGGUUUGAUCUCAAACGGACCAGGGAGGGGAAUAUCCGAGAGGAAAGGACCAACGAAAGCGGCGGAGGGAAAGGGGAAAGCAAAUAAAAAAAGCGGUCUCCCCUCCUUUUCUGUCGCCUCCAACUCUCUGGUCUGGUCUGAGAAUAUGUGGAUGAACUUGUCCCGGCCGCAGCAGCAGCAGCGAGUCCGACCGUCCGCAUGAGCUCGACCCGUGUGAAGUUGUGGAUUUACCGUUGCGUUGUUCGGCGUCGUGGAGCCUCUGAGGAUGGAGAGUUUGUGGAGAGGAGCUUGAUGUGUUUUGGACAAAAGGAUGCAUCUGAAGUUAAUGACUGAAUUUCAACGUUGUCCGUUUCCACUGAAUCCCAUCACCUCUUCCUCUCUCC
ensembl:lncRNA